UUUACUUGCUAGCAGUUCAGGGGUGUGCCGGUGGAAAUCAGCAGCAGGUAGGAAAGACAAACUACAAGGACAUUUCAGAAUAAAUAGAUCCAGCUCCCACUGUUGGUGAAGCGUUCAUGAUGCAUCCUCCUGAACGGCCUGGGGCGUCCCCAGCCCCGUGUCAGCAGGCAGCCUCUGCCCCCCAGGGCACCCUCUGCACCAGACCACUGGGGGGUCUCCUCCAGCUAGCCAUGCCKUCCCUGGGCCUCCUCUUCCCCAGGGUCCAUGCAGCUGACAGUGUGGCUCCUGCCCCGGUACAGAUCCCCUCCCCCCUGCCCAGCCUCGUGGGCAAGCCAGAGUUCCCAGACACUGGAUGGGACCGCAUCAAGGAUCUCUUCGACAGGGAUGAAAUGCAGAAGUAUCCUGAGGAGCUCUCCAGCGUGGUGAAGAGUACCUUCGCUGCCGCCUUGGCCGGCAUGAUCUACGGAGGGCUGCCCGCCGCCCGGCACGCCAGGGAGAGGUUCAUCCAGCUCCACCAGGCUGAGAUAUACCACAGCCGGGUGGAAGCUGUGCGWUCUGCCCAUAACGCAGCCAUCCGGGGCUUUGUGAGGUAUGGCUGGAGGUGGAGCUGGAGAGUGGCAGCCUUCGUCACAUUAUUCAACACUGUGAGCACAGGCCUGUCUGUGUACAGAGAUAAGUAUACCCUCAGCCACUACGCAGCAGCAGGAGCUGUGACAGGAGGCCUAUUCAGGCUGAACCUGGGUCUCGGGGGACUGGUGGCAGGCACGGCCAUAGGAGCAACCAUGGGGGUGCCGGCAGGAGUUCUGAUCAUCGCCAUGCAGGGAUUGMCYGGAGAAACYGUCCGGGAGAGGAGGAGGAGGGAGCGCAGAGAGCUGUAUGAACUAAAACUGGCGGAAUGGAGUGCCCGUUUGCAGUUGACGGAUGACCUGAUUGGUGAUUUGAGCAGCAGUGGGCGGAUCCAGGAUGUAGACCAGGACAUACAGAAGAUCCAGGAGCUGCUCAGUUUACCACGGAACGAGGGCGUGGCCCAGGACUCUGACAGCCAUUGACAGCAGCUGAAAUACUCUAACUGAUACCAAUCAUAGCCAUCCUCACAGACAGACAAUGGCCUGUGAUGUUGGCCCCUGGGCUUGUCAGCAGCAACUAGGUCAAACAUAGCCUCUGCRCCUGCUGUAAACAAGAUGUGGCACACUAACAGCUGGGGCUCGGAACGCGACUCAGAUUGACAACAAAUAGCCAGGAGAUUGGAAAGAGAGACGAGUCGUUAGUUAACACAGCUAACAUUCUAAUUCUACUUUUAAAGGUUUGGUCAGUGKCGAUCGGUUACAGCCAUGUGCUUUAGUGUGUCAUUAAGUUAUGAUUGUGUAAUUCAAUUCAAUCAUCAUCUGAAUGAAUUACAUUUCAUGUCCUAUCAGAGGGAGUCUGCUCAGAUCAACAAGUGAUGUAAGCAUUAUUAUGCAAAUUAGUUUUUGUUGAAAUGUAAUGCAAUAGUGUCUCCUUUUGUUCCAGGGAGCUAUUACUAAAGAAAUGCAUUCCUCUUCACCUCCCAGCGGAAGGCUAGCCUACAGUUAAKAUUUAAAUAAUUUGAUUAGAAUGGCAUUAGGAAUGUAUGGAAUUUAUUUUCAGGGCACUGGGCAGCAUGUUUUAGACAAAACAAUGACAGGCUUUUAAAACAUACAGUUGAAGUCGGAAGUUUACAUACACUUAGGUUGGAGUCAUUAAAAUUGGUUUUUCAACCA